UCCCCAGAACCACGGAAUGUGACUCUGCUUGGAGAUAGGGGUUUUUACAGUGGCAUUCAAGUUAAAGUGAGGCCAUUAGGGCGGGUUCUGAUCCAACAUAGCUGGUGAUCUUACUAAAAGGGGACAUUUACAUGCAGACAUGCAGAGAGAGAAGCUGAUGUGAGAAAAUAUAGGGAGAACGCAGACGUCUGCAAGUCAAAAAGAGAGGGUGGAACAGAUUCUCCCUCCCAGCCCUCAGAAGGUGACACUCGUGCUGACUGACAUCUUGCUCUCAGACUUCCAGGCUCGAAACCGAGACAACAAAUCCGUGUUAUGGAAGCCACUCUGUGUGGUGCUUUGUUGUCGAAGGCCUAGCAGACAAAUACACCGAGCUUCCGGAAAAGCCAGAAAAGGAACAAGAUGGCCGCCAUCUCUUCUGCCGUUGUCCCUACUUGGAACCUUCAGAUGCCCCUCUGGUGAAAGAUUUGGACAUUAAAAUACACCGUGACGACUCUGGGUUAUGUAAAGCGAAUGCCAAGGAAGGGCUUCUAAUCGGACUCAGGGAGUCAGCAAGCCCUUCCCAGAAGUGUCUUCUAAGCAGACGAGUUAGCCAGACAGUGGCAAGGCGAGGAGGACCGCUUGAGCAAGGGUGCAAGGCCAAGAAGAAAAAUACCUCUUUUGUGAAAAGAUCCGUUUUUAGCUUUCCUGUUAGAAAACGCGAGCCAAAAAUUCACACGGGAAAUGGGAUCUGAAACGCCACCUUUCAUUCUGAAAUUCAGGAGAUGUAAGUUUGCAUUUUAUUAUUCUCAGUGGGUUAUUUUCUUUAACUUCCCUUCCACCCCGCCCCACGUGCUUUGCUAAAGCAUUUUGCUCUGCAGGUUAAAAAAGAAAUAAAUUAUCUGGGAGCGUACAGGAUUGAUGUCGGGAUGCUGCUAAAUGAAAACGGGAGCCAUUCAGAUUAAUCAGCCCUUUAGUCAUUUCGUUUGUCAAACAUGUAUUGGGUUUUUGCUCCGUGCCAAGCAUUAUGCUUCGUGCGGAGGACAUAAAGGUACUUACAUCAUCAUCGCUGUCCUUGAGGGGCGGUCACUGGUGAGGGAAAAGGGCAGGUAACCAGACAAUCUCCACUUCAAAGGACAGACAGAAGACACAACAGUAAGCCCAGCCUGCAGGGUCAAGGGCAAAGUCCCAUGCUUGUAAAAUCAGUAUGGGCCUCCCUUGAAUCCCCCUCUUGAAAGAAUGUUGGAGGGACACCUGACUAGCUAAGAUGGAGGUUGUUCCCCAACUAUCACCUGGUGCGCGUUAUAAAGCGUGCAUAACUCAGCUUUACGCAUAAAUAUUGGAGAGCAUCUCUCCCCUCGAUAAUUGACCUGUCUCACACUUUCAAUAUCCUCCUUCUGAAAGAAAAGGUUUAAUCAGGGCUCAGUGAAAUUAGAAAUGUUAAUGCUGAGAUCAUUACCACUUUUUAUUAAAGAAUGAUCUUUAAUAACUCAUUUCAACCACCAGCCCUAAGUGAAGUUUUGAUCCCACCAUCUCCUGACGUGGCGGAAUCAGUCCAGAGUUGGAUUUGGAUUUCCGGGCCAAAUUGUAGCUUUCAGGCAUUCAUCACAUACGACGGGCUUGUAUCCGGCACAGAGGGUGACCUCCAGUCACCACUCACUUGAGGGUUAAAAUUCAAUGUACAACUACUCAGGGAUUCUUUGAACUUAAUGAAGUUGACUCACAGAGCUAGGGGGUAGGAAAGGCAGAUUUUGAGGCUGAUGGCAUCUGGGGAAAUCAGGGGAAAAAAGCUCCAUGGGAGCAAAUGAUCUGAGGCAAUCUUUUUCCGCUCCAGUCCGACUGACUGUUUUUCAAGCUGGAACGUCACGGGCGCAAGUACAGGAGGCAGAAUCAGACUUGUCCCUUGCUCUCCUCCCCACCAGCUCUGACACUUACUACGUAUAUUUUGUCUAAAUUCACUAAAACCAUCAUUUCCUCAUCUGUAAAAUGGGUUAAUCCAACCUAUCCUAGAAGGUCGUCAUGCUAAAAAUAUAAAGAAAUCCUUCCCUGUCUACCACAAACACAAGAGCUAAAAUAAGAACUGG